GUGCUAGCAGCCGCGGUAAAACGUAGGAGGCGAGCGUUAUCCGGAUUUACUGGGUGUAAAGCGCGUGCAGGCGGUGCUGCAAGUCGUGUGUGAAAGCGCUCAGGCUCAACCGGGCGAGGACAUGCGAAACUGCGGUGCUGGAGGGAGGUAGAGGCGUGUGGAAUUCCGGGUGUAGUGGUGAAAUGCGUAGAGAUCCGGAGGAACACCAGUGGCGAAGGCGACACGCUGGGCCCACCCUGACGCUAAGACGCGAAAGCAUGGGGAGCGAACGGGAUUAGAUACCCGUGUAGUCC
rnacentral:rRNA from 1 species